CUCAGGAUAGCUCAGCGACAGAGCAUGAGAAUCUUAAUCUCAAGGUCUGUGGGUUCAAGCCCCAUUGCAGGAGG